rnacentral:rRNA from 1 species
CCUACGGGAGGCAGCAGUGGGGAAUAUUGCACAAUGGGGGAAACCCUGAUGCAGCGACGCCGCGUGAGUGAAGAAGUAUUUCGGUAUGUAAAGCUCUAUCAGUAGGGAAGAAAAUGACGGUACCUGUUUAAGAAGCCCCGGCUAACUACGUGCCAGCAGCCGCGGUAAUACGUAGGGGGCAAGCGUUAUCCGGAUUUACUGGGUGUAAAGGGAGCGUAGACGGCAGCACAAGUCUGGAGUGAAAUGCCGGGGCUUAACCCCGGAACUGCUUUGGAAACUGUGCAGCUAGAGUGCAGGAGAGGUAAGUGGAAUUCCUAGUGUAGCGGUGAAAUGCGUAGAUAUUAGGAGGAACACCAGUGGCGAAGGCGGCUUACUGGACUGUAACUGACGUUGAGGCUCGAAAGCGUGGGGAGCAAACAGGAUUAGAUACCCGUGUAGUC